rnacentral:rRNA from 1 species
CCUACGGGAGGCAGCAGUAGGGAAUCUUCCACAAUGGGCGCAAGCCUGAUGGAGCAACACCGCGUGAGUGAAGAAGGGUUUCGGCUCGUAAAGCUCUGUUGUUGGAGAAGAACGUGCGUGAGAGUAACUGUUCACGCAGUGACGGUAUCCAACCAGAAAGUCACGGCUAACUACGUGCCAGCAGCCGCGGUAAUACGUAGGUGGCAAGCGUUGUCCGGAUUUAUUGGGCGUAAAGCGAGCGCAGGCGGUUGCUUAGGUCUGAUGUGAAAGCCUUCGGCUUAACCGAAGAAGUGCAUCGGAAACCGGGCAACUUGAGUGCAGAAGAGGACAGUGGAACUCCAGGUGUAGCGGUGGAAUGCGUAGAUAUAUGGAAGAACACCAGUGGCGAAGGCGGCUGUCUGGUCUGCAACUGACGCUGAGGCUCGAAAGCAUGGGUAGCGAACAGGAUUAGAUACCCCUGUAGUC